CCGAGUUUACAGCUCCCAAACCCCUGUGAACAUACCUAUACGUUGCCUCGGCGGAUCAGCCCGCGCCCCGUAAAACGGGACGGCCCGCCCGAGGACCCUAAACUCUGUUUUUAGUGGAACUUCUGAGUAAAACAAACAAAUAAAUCA
rnacentral:misc_RNA from 1 species